ACUGUUGCAUUGUUCCCUGGUGUAGUAAGGGGUGGUGUAGUAGCAUUUACUGGAGUAGUGAUGGGUGGUGUGGUAGCGUUUACUGUUGCAUUGUUUCCUGGUGUAGUUAAAGGUGGUGUAGUAACAUUUACUGUUGUAGUAAUGGGUGGUGUGGUACCAUUUACU